CGUGGUGGAGUGGUCUAACACGCAGGAUUUAGGAUGGGCACUCACGUCAGCUUAAACAUUCCUGUCCGCAAGGGCGCAGGUUCAAAUCCUGCCGGU
rnacentral:tRNA from 1 species